GAGGCUGCUGCAGUCUACCGUGGCUGCUUCGUUCCCGGCUCCGGUGGUGGCCAUGCUACACCCCCCGAGCUGCUGCCAGCGUCGACCUGGCGCUGGCCAGCACUACAGGGACGUCUGCAAGGCCGGCGAAAGUUCUGCCUCGCCUGCACCGACGUGCAGGUUCCUAUUCCGGUGGUGAUGAUGCUAUCUACCGCAGCUCCUGAUGGUGCUGCCAGCACUGUCUGUGUAGCCGAGAGCUGCCCCUGUUUUCUAUGACUGGGACCUCUCCUACAACACUGCGUCCCCCAUCGGAAGGUCUCUAUUUCUCUUUCUCAGGGGAGAGCUUUUAUAAUCCCGAUGUUCCAAAAGCGUGGUGGUGUUGCUGUCCACCAGAGCUGCUGCCUCUAUCCGUGCCACCGAGCUGAAGCUGCUGGUGUCCAUUGGUAUGCUUCACCAAGUAGCUUCACUUAUUAAUUGGAUAGGCUUUUGUGGAUGGCCGCACGAUUUCCGCAGCGGCAGAUGCGGCAUGCUAGUGAUGUUGCUGGAGAGGAUACCGAUGACCAGGACUUCCAUGACCAAUGAGGUGUUCAGGAUGGCAACGCUCGCCGGCAUCACCAUCAAGUACGGAGUCGAGUCUCAGAUGGCUGUGAGCAUAGAAGGCUGCUGGUCUGAUGCAUGACCGGAGGUUGGAAUAACAACAAGUGAAAGCAUGACCGGAGGUUGUAAUAAUCAUGUUCCUAUUCCGGUGGUGCUGCUGUCCACCGGAGCUCCUGAUUGCGCUGCCAGCGUCCGUGUCGCCAAGCCAAUGGCCUGUUCACACGGCCUCCUCCUUUUCUUCCUGUUAAUGGUUGCCACUGCCUGCAGCCUAAAACUGUGAAUGCAUUUCAACGGUGGAGCUGGAUGAUGUUAAGCUUUGCUGAUGUAAGACUUCAGGAUAAUCAGGCUACUUUCUCUGUACAACUCACGUCAAUUUAAUCCGAACGGAGGGAGUACUGAAAUGAUGUUGAUGGAGUCCGCAGGAAAGGCUUUUGUGGCUGGCCGCACGAUUUCCGCAGCGACACAUGCAGCGUGCUAGUGAUGUUGAUGGAGUCGAUGCCAGCACCACACGUGUCCCGUGGAUGACCAUGCCAUCCAUGACCACGAGGUGUUCAGGAUGUGGCAACACUCCCGGCAUCACCACCAAGUACGGACUCGAGUCUCAGAAGGGUGGGAGCAUAGAAGGCUUGCUGGUCUGAUGCAUGACCGGAGGGUGGAAAGAACAAGUGAAAGCUGAACUCUUGUUUGGUUUGAACGCCUGGGUUAUUGGUUGUUGAUAGCUAUUUGUGACUCCAAAUCUGGAAUGUUUGGUGGUACUUGAUGUUUCUUGUAAUACUCCAGAGUGUAACGCCAGUUUGGUUGGACUUGCGAUGGAUUUGAGUUGUGCUGUUGCUCUUUUA